rnacentral:sRNA from 1 species
AUGGGAAACCAUGGCAUCAGGGUCCAGUUGCAUUAAACCCCGUAAUUCGGGGUUUUUUAUUAUCUGAACAUGACCCAUUCGGAUGGAUAUCUGGGCUUUUAAGCCCUUUUUUU